AUAUCAAUAAGCGGAGGAAGAGCAACUAACCAGGAUUCCCCCAGUAACGGCGAGCGAAGCGGGAUGAGCUCGAGCAGUCAAUCUCUGGCGUAGAUCGUCAGCGAAUUGUGGCCGGGAGAGGCGGGUGCACCCGAGGCGCCUCCGUCGAAGUUGACCUGGAAAGGCACGUCGGAGAGGGUGAUAGCCCCGUUGGGGGCGGAGGUGCCGAAGGCCGCUACCGUCUUCCGAGAGUCGGGUUGUUUGAGAUUGCAGCCCAAAUGGGGUGGUAAACUCCAUCUAAAGCCAAACAGCGGCACGAGACCGAUAGCGAACAAGUACCAUGAGGGAAAGGUGAAAAGCACUUUGGAAAGAGAGUUAAAGAGACCGCGAAACCGUUAGGAGGGAAACGCAUGCAGCCGAACAGGCCCUCGUCGGGUUCAGGGGGUCUCGGGGUUCCGGUCGAGGCGGGCGUCACCCAU
rnacentral:rRNA from 1 species